ACAACGUCGACGCGAUGCAUGUUGUGGACCACGACGAUGAACAAUUUCUUUGCUGAAUAUUCCUUGAAGAAUUCUUCAGUCGAAAGGAUCUUUUCCAGCUUGAUCUCGGACGCGGGAGACACGUUUAUAAUAAUUCUGGAUGUCGACUAUUUCCGGUCAAAUCAGGCCCAAUAAAACAGGCAAUUGAAUAACAGUGGGCAAUGUGCAGAUCCUGAGUGUUUUGAUCAUACUGUAUCUCAUUGUCAGUGAAGAUUUCAUGCAAUUGACUUGUUAUCGGCGUGAGUAGCAUUGAACAUGCGAUCUUAUUUAUCUACUUGUACCUGCGACCAUAUUCACCCUUGAAACAAUACCAUCAAAUAAGGAGUUGAGACAUGUUUUUUGUAACUUCGUUUUAUUAAAAUUUCCUCAAGCUGUGUAUUCUAUUACGAAAAAUCCUGUGAUUUUUCCAAAUUCCUGUUCAAUUCCUAUAACAAUUUAUGGACUUACCUGAAAAUUGCCAGUUCAUGGUUGAAUUUUAUGAAAAUUUUGGAGUAAAAUAAAAAUUACUUGUCGGAUCCU